ensembl:lncRNA
GUGACUUCGUAAGGGCGGAACUAAAAAAUGACGGAGAUUGGUUCCACCCGGACCAUAAUUCUCAAACACCGGGAACUCCGGGAAGGGAAAUCAGGGUUUUAUUGAUCGCAGGUGGAUAGAUGAACGGGGCGAUCGUGGAUUGGGCAGUAUGAAGAGAAGGAGGAGUAUAAAGAGGGCCUCAGAAACUGCAGAGGGGGGGAAAAAGUUCUUUGUUUUAUUUCAGCCGAUACGGCGAGAGAGUUGGAGUGUUUGGGCGAGUACCGUGGAAAGAAGGCAGAGGAUAUUGUUGGCUGGGCAAAGACGGAGACAAGGGUUUGGCAGAAACAGACACCGGGCUGAGUAUAUUGGAAUGUCUACUUAACUGUGAAAUGCUCCAUGGACAUGUGUAACAAAUUCUGAGUGGUUGAAAACAGGAAGACUCACCGGAAGUAUCGCCGAAGGAGGCCUUUUCGACAGGGCACGUGGCAGCAGGAGAAGUACCCAGGAGCUGGAAAGAAGAGGGAAAAGAGACCUCGUGUAGUAACGGUGUGAGUACCCUAAACCAUCGUACAGCAGUAUAAUCAUCUAGAGUGAACCAUCUGUGAGCGUUUUGUGAGUUUGUGGCAUAGUAUGUGAGCGGCCCCACUGUGGAGGAGGAUUGUGGGUGAGCCGGGACCAGUGAGCGAGAGAGGAUGUUGGGCUGUUGUGGCGGCAACGUUUAAAUCUGAAUAUUCGUGGCAUCAGUGUCUUCACGACUUCCAGGAAGAGUCUUUGGUCAGACGGGGUGUUGACCCUAAAUUCACCAGAGUGUGUGGAGUGCAGUGGGUGAGUCUUUGUCCUUUGCUGUGAGUGUAUACACUUGAAAAUUGCAGUGUUGUGCUGUGUUGUGUCGUCAACAACCACCUUUCAGGCCCGACGAAAUCCUGUGAAGGAAGUGAAUACCGAGGCUCGAAGAAAACAUCUCCAAUUAUAUGCCGUCGAUGACAUCCUGACCCUUCUUCCCCACGUGACGGUGGUGGGAAACAAUUUCAAGUAAGAACAGUGUGGAUCUACUGGGAAGUAUUAAUGGUGAGGAGUUGGCUGCUGUAGGAGGAAAUCAGCUGUGCGUGUAUUAUUACCUGCUGUGGAGUUCUUCAAAGGUUCGCCCCUGUCUAGAUCUCUUGACUUGUCGGUUGGUAGAAGCCUCAGAAAAGGAACGUCUGACGUCUAUUCCCUCGAAGGUCUGUGAGUUACAUCACUUCCUGUUUCCCUGUAUAUUCACCGUAAACGUAUGCCCAAAGCUAAAGCCAGCAUAUUGUGUUGUACACUCACCUGUCUGCCCAGAGUGAAGUCCCAGUUACCUUUGAUGUACUUACCUUAUGCCCAAAGCUAAAGCCAGCAUAUUGUGUUUUACGCUCCUGUAUGCCCAAAGUGAAGUCCCAGUUAUAUUGGAUGUACUUACCUUUAUGCCCAAAGCUAAAGCCAGCAUAUUGUGUUGUACGCUCCUGUAUGCCCAAGUGAAGUCCCAGUUAUAUUGGAUGUACUUACCUUAUGCCCAAAGCUAAAGCCAGCAUAUUGUGUUGUACACUCGCCUGCAUGCUCAAGUGAAACCCCAGUUGUCUUUCCUACGGACUUACUUGUGCCUCCGAGUGAAGAGCCAGCGGCCCCUCUGUCCACUAUCCGUGUCCAGUCCUGUUACACUUACACUUAUGCUUUUGUGCAGAUCUAGCGGGUCCCUUUGAAGCGUCUACCUGCAUGUCGACUCGUCACUCAGGAUACAGAGACCGCGGAAACCCCCUCCCGUACACUUACCAGUACGGUUUUAGUUGGAACCCGGUAGCCCUUGUGCAGUUCCCCCAGCAGCUGGACGACCGGGAGUACAACCCGCUGGGCCGCCUCGGAGUUCGUCAAAGGUAGCAGCAGGUAUCCAUUGUGCAUCCAAACUCUCAAUACUUACCACUUGUAUCUGUUACGUCCAGGAAAGGAGAGGGCCCUGGACAGUCGUCCUGCAAGUCAGAACAAAGGGGCACUUGUGAAUAAGCUGAUUGUCGUCACAUAGCCAGAAGGAAAGAGGAGUGAAGGACUCACCUGAGAUCUCCCGUGACGGAGUCUAAGAGACUCGAGAUUGUUACUCUCCAAAAGGAGGGUUGGAUUUUAGCCUCCCUUCCCCAUACCCUUUUUUUUUAGUAAUUUAAUAAAGUCUGUUUUAAAAUUUACUUACCGGCUCUCGUGUGUCUGGUCAUUGGGGUAUUCUUGGGACCUCCUCGAGGUGGAAAUUAGGAAGGGGCGUGACUCACAACAUCUGUGGUCAGCUCCGACCUGUGACACUA